rnacentral:lncRNA from 1 species
GGGUGACCAGGCUCUGGUGUGGUAGUGCUACGCUCUCGCCUUUUAGAGGACAAAGCCCUCCUAUGCAUGCACCAUCGACGGACAAGACAUCCGUGAUGAACUGGCCAAAGAGCACGAAAAACCAGUGGGAGGUCUCGAGAUGAUCCCGUUAAAAUGAUGAAAGUGAAGAACAUGCGGUUCAGAUUGGAUCCAACUUGGAUCAG